CGGGGCUCAACGCCUUGUAAUUGGAAUGAUGGGAAUCUAAACCCCUUCCAGAGUAUCAAUUGGAGGGCAAGUCUGGUGCCAGCAGCCGCGGUAAUUCCAGCUCCAAUAGCGUAUAUUAAAAUUGUUGCAGUUAAAAAGCUCGUAGUUGAAUUUCUGCUGCAUCGCCACGGCCCCACGGGCCCAGCGUUGCGGCUUAUUUCGGACUCGCUUGCGAUGCCGAUUGUUUACUUUGAGAAAAUUAGAGUGCUCAAAGCAGGCCCUUGCCUGAAUACUUUAGCAUGGAAUAAUAAAGUAGGACUUUGGUUCUAUUUUGUUGGUUUAGCGCCAAAGUAAUGGUUAAUAGGAACAGUUGGGGGCAUUCGUAUUUAACUGUCAGAGGUGAAAUUCUUAGAUUUGUUAAAGACGAACCACUGCGAAAGCAUUUGCCAAGGAUGUUUUCAUUAAUCAAGAAC
rnacentral:rRNA from 1 species